ACACACGCAUCCAUACACACACAUCAAUACACACACAUCCAUACACACACGCAUCCAUACACACACAUCCAUACACACACAUCCAUACACACACGCAUCCAUACACACGCAUCCAUACACACGCAUUCAUACACAAGCAUCCAUACACACACAUCCAUACACACACGCAUCCAUACACACACGCAUCCAUUCACUCCAUACACACACAUCCAUACACACACACACACAUCCAUACACACACACAUCCAAGCGUACACACACAUCCAUGCACACACGCAUCCAUACACACGCAUCAAUACACACACAUUCAUACACACACGCACAUACACACUCAUCCAUACACAUGCAUCCAUACACAUGCAUCCAUACACACGCAUCCAUACACACAUCCAUACACACACAUCCAUACACACAUGCAUCCAUACACACACAUCCAUACACACACAUCCAUACACACAUGCAUCCAUACACAAGCAUCCAUACACACGCAUCCAUACACACACGCAUCCAUACACACACAUCCAUACACACGCAUCCAUACACACGCAUCCAUACACACACAUCCAUACACACACAUCCACACACACAUGCAUCCAUACACAAGCAUCAUACACACACAUCCAUACGCACACACAUCCAUACACACACAUCAAUACACACACAUCCAUACACACACGCAUCCAUACACACACAUCCAUACACACACAUCCAUACACACACGCAUCCAUACACACGCAUCCAUACACACGCAUCCAUACACAAGCAUCCAUACACAAGCAUCCAUACACACACAUCCAUACACACACGCAUCCAUACACACACACACACACAUCCAAGCGUACACACACAUCCAUGCACACACGCAUCCAUACACACGCAUCAAUACACACACAUUCAUACACACACGCAUCUAUACACACUCAUCCAUACACAUGCAUCCAUACACAUGCAUCCAUACACACGCAUCCAUACACACAUCCAUACACACACAUCCAUACACACACG
rnacentral:lncRNA from 1 species